UGGGAGGGCCUGAUGCUGCCAUUUCCUAAACGUUCUUGCUCUGCACAGGACUUGUCCUUAACUGGGCUGGCACCAGCCCUGCUCUUCACCCAGGAUUACUCUGAUGUAGCAAUGCACAGUUGCUCAAAAGGCCCAGUUGAUUUCACAGCCUUUAAACUGUUAUAACCACUUGCAGGUUAUCAUUCUAUGCCUGGAAGGUGAAACUUUCAACCAGACAGAUCUCUCUGAGUGCUGUGUCCAGUUCUGUUGAUGUCAAUAGCUUAUUUUAUACAACAAACGUUUGGUGCCACAGAUCAAACGCAGACUGCCUUGGUUUGAGUCAGUGCACAAACAUCCCUCUGUAAAACUGCAGGUCCUCUUUCCACCUUGACUGUGUCUGGCUGCUCCUUAUUAUGGUUUAUUAAAGCCUUUCUCUGCCGAGGUGGAAAGACCUUUCAUGCUAUGCAGUUGCUGCUCAAGGAAAUACCUCUGCAUUGUGGCAGAUCACCUUUCAAUCUUCUUUUUGACCUGCUGAACAGGUUAAUUUUUUAAGUCUCUUCUUCCAAGGCAUUUUCUCUGCACUUAGUGAUUUUUUGCUUCCUCUCUCUGUCUUCUCCCAUUAGUUAAUAGUGAGCAUCAGCAGAACGUGCAGGGCUCCAGAGCUGCAGUCAGCAGCACCACCCGGAGAGGUUAAGUCCCCACUUCUUUGUAAACAGCCAAGGAUAAGCUUACACCGAGGUUACUGUGAGCUACUUUCCUCCUAUAAACCCUUUUCAGGAUUCCCCUGUCCACGACCAAGGACCACAAAUCAUCUUUAUGGAUGUAUGAACCAUUAUUUUCUUGCACAUCUCCAGCCUGCUGCAUGGUCUCGGGACUCAACUGGACUGCGUUGUUAUUAUCACCAGGUUCUGGCAGCAGUGUGCUUAAGGACUUCUCUUUUUAUAGCACAGUGAUAAAAACAUUUAAUGGUAGCAUUCAGCUGCUCCCUGCAGAGCCCUGCUAGAAGCAUCCUGAUUCGAUGAUUCUUUGUUAACAGAUAAUCUGAUACAGGAUAAGGAGCUGCUCUAGAUCUCCUGUAUUGAAGUUACUUAGUGUUAAUUAGCUAAAAAGCAUGUCCAGGGGCAAAAAAAAAAUGCCAGAAGACCAACUCUAUUAGAUUUACAGUUUGUCACCAAAAGGGUAAUCUCAUCAAAAGCUGGACACAGUCCAUGCAGGUAUGUGAUACCCCCAGUAAUUCAACACCCCCAAAGACUUUGCUGCAUUUGGAAGUGACUGCCUGGCCACCUGCCUCCAUUCCACCAGGACGCUGAAAUGUUAUGCUUGCAGUCCCAGAUCUUUUGAUGUGGAGCUGUGGGAUGAAAACUGCCCUUUGUUUCUUUCUUUAUACUCUUUCAUCCACGGUGUGUGAUACAAUAAAACACACCAUGUUGCUUUGCUUCCCUUGUAUGCUCCCAUGCCUUACAGUGCAGAACCUGUACCCUCGGUGGCACCGUGUGCUUGCUGGCACCUACCAAUGUUGUGGCAGGCUAACAGGUCUAUUAGAUGUCCUGCCUUGCCCCACCCUUCUGCUGAUGGGGAAAGCAAGGGCAGGAGGGAAACAAAGGCUCGGGCCAUUAUGUCCCCUCCCAAAGUGAUAAACAGGUUCCCACAGGUGUUGGUGUCUUGCCCAAAUAAGGGGCCUGGUUUCACCUAAUAUGGUCAGCCUGGCAAAUGCUAUCCUGAUUGGUGAAUCUCUGUGGCCAAAGGAGCCUUUGCACUUGGGCAAGUAAUAGAAAUGGAGCUAAGCUGCAAGCAGUCGUGCUGCCUCUGCCUUGCUGUGUGCUGCUCUGCUCUGCCUCACUGCUCUUGGCUUGGACAACGUGUUCUGCUCUGCCUCAUGCUUCACAGCAGCUUAGCCCUGAUGUUUUGAGCUUGAACUGCCUGGACAUGUUAAGUACAUCGAGUUUACCAGGAGAAGGCAGUAAGUGCCUCACAACUUGGUAAGAAGUCUUGCAAUGACAGGACAAGGAGUAAUGGGUUUAAUUUGAAGAGGGGAGAUUUAAACUAGAUGUGAGGAAGAAGUUCUUUGCCGUGAGGGUAGUGAAACACUGGGACAGGUUGCCCAAGGAGGUUAUGGACGCUCCCUCCCUGGAGGUGUUCAAGGCCAGGCUGGAUGAGGCCUUAAGCAACCUGUUCUAGUGGGAGGUCUCCUUGCCUACGGUGGGGGGUUGGAACUGGAUGAUCCUUGAGGACCCUUCCAACCUAAACCAUUCUAUGAUUCUAAGUGCCACUGCCAUAGUGCUCUCUACACACCUGCAAGAGAUCCUGCCUGAAACUCUGCAAACCUCUGUGCCAAGAGGAACCAGGAUUGAGUCAGAGAUCUCCUGUCUCUUCCCCAGCACCCUGCUAGAGCCUGGAAAGAUUUAGAAGCCGUUCAAAGGUUACCAAGAAGCUGAGCAGUUCCAACACUGCACAAAGGAGCCAGAGACUACCUCUGAGUUUGUACUCCACUGCUGCCUUGGGAGCUGCUCAGUGAAGCCUAUGAGAUGAAGAUGCCUACAUCCCGCAGAGCUGCCACAAGGACAGGACAGCCACUUCUACAGUUUGCACAGGCAAGUCCACCAUGGGGGUUGGUUUUUUUCACUUGAUAUUAGGUUCUUUUACACUUGAAAGGUAGUGCUGCAGUUCAAAAGUCACAGAUAUUGUUCUCUGUAGCAAUAAGCACAGCAAUCUGAGUGAGCACACUUGUCUUGGAUGUUAGCUAUCUACAGCUCUGGAGGGCAGACAGACUGGCAAACAGCAGCAUGUCCUCCUUGCCCCACACCACUCAGGUGUGACGACCCCAGCACAAACACACUCUUCAGCUUAAUGCAGGCACAGUAAUGAUGGGCCUUCAGGAAUGAAAGGUUUGAGACUGACUGACCCAAAAGUGGAGCGCUGUGCAAUGUGCCUGUCAGCAUAAGGCAACUGGUAAAUAUACUUAACCCAGCAUUCAAGUAGCUGUAUGUGGACCAUCUUAACUGACACCUGUCCAAAGGCAAUGUAACAGCCUGCCAAACAGGAUGGCAAAGCAUUUGUCCUUUGCAUUGCUUUGAAGGUCUUGCAAAGCACUGGGUGGAGAACUAGGUGCACAGACUGACCUAAGUAUCCUUUUGAGACGUUGCUAAGUCACUUGUGGCAGAUGUGCUUCACUGAAAGAUUGGUGCAGAGCAAACAUUUCUGGCUGAGGUUAGUUCAGAUCAUCAGGAACGUGUUUAGUAGAUUUGAUACAGUGUGGUACUCAACUUGCAUUAGCUGCAGCCUACAGGCAAGACUGAACUGAAGACCUGGAAACUUAAAGAUGUAAGAUGUUUAAAAAAUGAAGUGGCUUUCAUUAGGAGCAAAAGGACCACCAGGUAAGUGUGCUAGCUCCUUCUACAUUUAAGGAUAGGGCAGUUGGUUCAGAGAGCUGGAAAGGAGCACCUGUGAUGUUCCCCAGGCAGGUACCGUGAGGGUGUGUGCAAACUGUGGCUGCCACUGCUCUUGGUUAUGCUUUCCCUGGACUCUCAGCUCUACCAAGGGAAGGUUUCUUAAUUCAUUUGCCAGUGUGUGGAGGUUAAGCCUUCCAACGUUUAACUAGGGGGCCGCAGGUGUUUUGCCUCUUGGGCAGGGCCCUGAAGCUCAAUGCAGUUACCCUUCAGAACCCUUAUGUGUUUCAACUUCCCUAGUGGAAUGGGAAUCAGAAUGUCCUUGCUGAAACUCUAAAAAGCAGGUCAAACCAGUGAUUUGACAGAAAAGCAGUGCAGCUAAGAGCAUGAGCCAGGCUGGCCACGAGAACAAUCUGCUCCCGGCUUUCUACCAAGAAGGUUCCUGCUAGCCACUCCGCAGGGCAGAGGUAAAGAAAAGCUGAUGCACCUUCCCAUCAAAGCAAAAUUUGGAGCAGGAGCACCCAUCUUACAAGAGAAACCUUAUUAAUGACUCAGGGCAAGUCCUUCUCUGAACUGAAUUGAUCCUUCUGAGUCUCCUCAAACUUCUCAGGCAGAGAGAUGGUGCAGCUCAGGACAGGGAGCUCAGGGUUUGUUUCACCCUGUGUGUUUCCCUUCACGGUUGUUUUUGUUCUCAUCUCCUUCUUUAUGUUGCAUUUUUUGUUCAUAAUGAUAAACUGGUAAGCUCUCUGAAAGUUAAUCCCCUGUUAGCUUUGCAGCUUCUAUGCUAAUCUCUUGUUGGCUUUGCUGCUUGUAUCUCUGGAGCUGAUUUGCAUUCCCUAAUCCCGAGCUGAAUCUCUUUGCUCUCAGUGCUUAUGUUUGCAUGGAUACCUAUUUUUGAAAUAAUUAGCUGAAGGACUCUCCCCACAGAACGUAACACAGAUUGAAGAGAUUUUACACAAGCUGAUGCUUAAAUGGCUUUCAAGACAGCUAAGAUUUUUUCCUGGCUUGUCUUUCCAUUUGGGAACAGGCAAGCCAUAUGUUUACAGUUGUUAACACAAGCCCUCGGCUCCAGCUCCAGCACACCAUCUCUGAGAAGCUUGCUUCGGCACUUCUGAAGGCUUCCAGCACAAGGACCGACCCUCCCUCAUCUGACUUGUGCAGUUCUAGACACACAACUGCAAGGUAAGCAGGGCUGCACUUGUGAGAAUCUAAGAAAUCCGAGGGCAGCGACAGCCCAGCCAAACCGUGGCAAGGAGAGGUGUCACCGAGGGCAGCGACAGCCCAGCCAAGCCGUGGCAAGGAGAGGUGGCACCGAGGGCAGCGACAGCCCAGCCAAGCCGUGGCAAGGAGAGGUGUCACCGAGGGCAGCGACAGCUCAGUCAUCAGUCCAGCUGCAAAGUGAAGUGUGGUUGGUGCCCUCUGUAUGGUACUGCAGCCCAGCUCUGUCAGGCUGGAGGAAUUCCCUUGGAGUUAGUGUGGCAUCAGAGCUUGCUAACUGAGGAGAGGAAAGCAGAAACCAGAGCUCUGAUGCAGUGACUGCAGGUGGAGGCAGACCCAAAUGUCUUUUCAAAGUCUCCUGACAUGACAGACUGCUGUGAUGGCUUCUCCAGGACAGCGCUAUCCUGAGACCCUGCGGCACACACAGCUCCAGCUGUAAAGCUGGAUCAGCUCAGCUGUCUUCACACCACUUGUGCCACUGUGCUGAGAUCCAAUGCACACAGAAGUGGAUGUUUCACACUUGCUGCAUGGAGAAGUACUUGUGAGUGGUUUUCUCAAAGAAGAACUGAUCAAAAAGGCCGACAAAUCCAAAUGCACCUCACAACAGUGCUGGCAAUGACACUGCACAGAGAGCAGAUCAGCUUAGUGGGCAGCUAUAAAUUGCACUUUUUAUGUUUCCAUGUGUACCAGAAAAUACUUUGUGGUGAUUAGAUUAAUUAGAGUGCUGGGAUCUGUUUUUCAAGAGGUUCUAUCCUUUUCAUGCUUAUCUAACAAACAGUGGUGACUCAGCCAACACGUUAACACAGGACAGUUCACAUGGUUUUAAUUCCCCCCCAACUGGCAGAGAUGAUUCAAUCUACAAUUUCCAUUUAAGUGCUUAGUAAAGAUUGCUAAUUUUUUUCUCUCAUUUGCCAUGAUACCACAAACAUACCAUGCCUGAAGUUCAGUCAAAACAUGAACAGGUACUUGUUUGUUUAAAAAUGAAGUCCAAGUCCUUGCUUGUUACAUCUUUCAAAUGCAAGAGAAUCCAGAAAGGAGCUUCAAAAGGACAAAGACUUCCUCCCAUGUUGUGAAGCCAAUUCUCCUAGUGGCAGCAGCUGGAACAAAGGUCACAAAGCUGAGAACCUAUCAAAUAGCACGUCCAUCAGGCUUUGCUUAAUCACACGAGCAGUGAAGUCUGCUUUGGCAAUGGUCUUCGCCUAACUGCAUCGGGUGUUGGGCCACAGCACUGCAGAUAAGAGCUGAUGAUAUAAAUGGGAGUCAUUCAGAGCCUGCAGACUGAGCUACCAGCCAAACAGCAUCCUCCACUGCUCUUCCUAUUGACUUCACCAUGCUCAGUCUCUCCUGAAGACUGGUGACUGACCCCAGUGGAAUCUAGGACUGUUUUAGGGCAUAAAACAGGUAUCAGCAAUAGUCUCUCCCAUGUUAAACACCAAGACGAAGGUGCCAGCAGUUUGAAGGAUAUGAUCUUUCAGGAACAUUAACGUUAAAGGUAAUAAUAGUUAGAAGCCUAAGAAAUUCAGUCUCAUUUUCUAUCAGCACUGCUUUCUGUGAGGAAUAGGUAUCCACAGGGAUGCAGAAGAAGUCACUAAGAAAAUGACAAUAUUUCACUUUGAUUAUUGCAGGGCAUUAAAAUGUUUCCAUUACCUUAACAUAGGUUUAUAAUUAGCCUCAUAAUAUGCUAUGACUAUUGUAAUUGACAUAUUUAUGUUGUUGCUUAUAAUUGCUACGUAAAAUAUUUAAGAUCAGCUUUAAAAAUCCUUUUCUUCUGAAAAUGUCACAUGCAAAAAGCUUCAGCAGGCACGUCUGGUUUUGCUCUGCUGCAGAGAUACACUUUAGGUUGCCAUGGUUUGGUUUUGCCUUGCUACAACCAUUUCAUUUUCUAGAACCUGGGGAGCGCCACUGAAAGAUGGAACUUGCUGCCUUAAGUGUGGGUUUGGUUAAAGCAACAGACAGCACAGAGGAGUUUUUCACAAUCCAACACUGUUGAUGUGUGUUUGCAGCCUUUCUUCAAGGCUAAAAACGUUUCUGUGAUAGGACAGCUGGCAUGCCACUGCAUCUAGAGAGAGCAACUUGUGCAGUAAGCUUGGCCCAAAGCUACGUCAAACAGCCAAGCCAAAGCAAGGUUUGCGGCAGGGCUGGCAAACCAGGCUCCUCAAACCAUGACUCUGAAGACAGAGAUCUGAUGAGACUUUUACCCAUACUACUAAAUGCUGUGCCUAAUGUAGCCCUUAAGCAUGAAGGUGCGCACAGAGAAAGGGAGGCAGGCUGCACUGAGGCAAGAGCUCUUUGCUUGCAUGCACUAACUUUACUGCCACUGUCUGUUUGUUACACACCUGCCUGUCAGAUUUCUUUCCAGCCUUCUCCUUUUC